CUCUCUCAAACCCUUGGGUUUGGUGUUGAGCGAUACGCUGAGGAAACUGAGUGUUUGCUUGAAAAAGAUUGGCAUGAGUGUACUAGAUAGUGCUCCUUGAUUUAUUCAAUGUAUUAGGUUUAUCCAACUCGUUGAACGGAAUCCUGGCGGUAAAUUUCUGGUGUUAUUGGCUCGGCCUAAUAACUUUUUAUAA
rnacentral:misc_RNA from 1 species